rnacentral:lncRNA from 1 species
ACCGUCCGCACGCACCGCGCGUCCGCCCCGGAGCGCCGAGCCGGGGGCCAGCGAGGAGCGGGCGGGAGCCCACUGCGGGCAGCCGCGGUCCGUCCCGCCCGAGGCGCCGGGCGGAGGCGCUUCCGGGUGCAACGGCGAGAAACGUGCCCCCGGGGGUCUGGACUUGCAACCAGCGGGGACCGCGCUCUGCGCCUCCGCCGCCCUCCCCAGCCCCCAGGGUUCCCGAGACCCCUGAGUUCCUUGCAGAACCCUUGUGGGUGCCACCUGGGAAUUCUCCCUUCCUCCAAGCCCCGGGAUUCCGAUGCUGCAGUCUCUACUAAGCUUAACCUGUUUGUCUCAGGUGUCACGACCUAGCCUCUAGCAGAGUCAGGUGUGCGUGGAGAGAACGCGCUACCAUCCCGCCCGAGCUCUCCUCUGCGGAGCCUCCUAAGGUCGGAUGCAAGUCCCGUGCAGGAUGGGUGUCUGGUGGUUGCUAGAUAUACCUUACCACUGGGUAUUACGUGGUUUCUCAGAUGGAGCCUAGGAUGAGUGAGCCAGAGAAGAAAACUAAAACAGAAAAACCUUGAAGUUUCCCUGAAGACUGGAGCUGGAGCAAUGGCAUAGUCUAGCUGUUCUUUCAGAGGACUGCUGCAGGCCCCAGCUCUCAGGAGAAAGCAGCUCUCAACUGCCUACAACUCCAACUCCAGGAGGUCGGAUGCCCUUUUAUGGAUUCUGUGGGUACCUGCACUCAGGUGGACAUCACUCACAUUGCAGACACACACCCCGAAAAUUUCAAGGUCUCACUGUCACUAUACCUGUUAGUAGAACGUAUCCCUCCAUUUAGAAGUAAGGCUUACAUCAGAAGUACCCAAGAAAGCUACAAAAGUUUUAGCCAAGCAAAUAAAAAAAAACUGGUUAAAGGCUCUUCUGUGUCUGCCCUCAUGGACUUUGUGUUUAAGCCUCUAGUGUACAGUGCAAAUCUACUGUUCACCCACAGCACGGAGCUCUUGCAGUAUAGCUGGUCUAAAUGGAAAUGCAAGGGUAAAUAUAAAAUAUGCGCAGACUUCAAAAGAUUCCAGUCCACCUGCUUUUACUUAAAAAAAAAAAAAAAACCCUACUGGAAAAUCUCACAUCACAUGUAGCUUAUAUCCCAUUUCUACAAGACAGCAUUCUUAUAAAAAGAAUAAACUGAAGUGUUUAAAAUGGA